UGGGGAAUAUUGCACAAUGGGCGCAAGCCUGAUGCAGCCAUGCCGCGUGUAUGAAGAAGGCCUUCGGGUUGUAAAGUACUUUCAGCGGGGAGGAAGGCGAUAAGGUUAAUAACCUUGUCGAUUGACGUUACCCGCAGAAGAAGAACCGGCUAACUCCGUGCCAGCAGCCGCGGUAAUACGGCGGGUGCAAGCGUUAAUCGGAAUUACUGGGCGUAAAGCGCACGCAGGCGGUCUGUCAAGUCGGAUGUGAAAUCCCCGGGCUCAACCUGGGAACUGCAUUCGAAACUGGCAGGCUAGAGUCUUGUAGAGGGGGGUAGAAUUCCAGGUGUAGCGGUGAAAUGCGUAGAGAUCUGGAGGAAUACCGGUGGCGAAGGCGGCCCCCUGGACAAAGACUGACGCUCAGGUGCGAAAGCGUGGGGAGCAAACA
rnacentral:rRNA from 1 species